rnacentral:rRNA from 1 species
CCUACGGGUGGCAGCAGUGGGGAAUAUUGCACAAUGGGGGAAACCCUGAUGCAGCGACGCCGCGUGAGUGAAGAAGUAUUUCGGUACGUAAAGCUCUAUCAGCAGGGAAGAAAAUGACGGUACCUGACUAAGAAGCCCCGGCUAACUAAGUGCCAGCCGCCGCGGUAAUACGUAGGGGGCAAGCGUUAUCCGGAUUUACUGGGUGUAAAGGGAGCGUAGACGGCAGCGCAAGUCUGGAGUGAAAUCCCAUGGCUUAACCAUGGAACUGCUUUGGAAACUGUGCAGCUAGAGUGCAGGAGAGGUAAGCGGAAUUCCUAGUGUAGCGGUGAAAUGCGUAGAUAUUAGGAGGAACACCAGUGGCGAAGGCGGCUUACUGGACUGUAACUGACGUUGAGGCUCGAAAGCGUGGGGAGCAAACAGGAUUAGAUACCCCAGUAGUC